GACGAACGCUGGCGGCGUGCCUAAUACAUGCAAGUCGAACGAGAAUUUCUUACACCAAGUGCUUGCGCUCACCGUAGGAAAUUCGAGUGGCGGACGGGUGAGUAACACGUGGGUAACCUGCCCAAAAGAAGGGGAUAACAUUUGGAAACAAAUGCUAAUACCGUAUAACCAUGAUGACCGCAUGGUCAUUAUGUAAAAGGUGGUUUUGCUAUCGCUUUUGGAUGGACCCGCGGCGUAUUAACUAGUUGGUAGGGUAACGGCCUACCAAGGUGAUGAUACGUAGCCGAGUUGAGAGACUGAUCGGGCCACAAUGGGACUGAGACACGGCCCAUACUCCUACGGGAGGCAGCAGUAGGGAAUCUUCCACAAUGGGCGCAAGCCUGAUGGAGCAACGCCGCGUGAGUGGAGAAGGUUUUCGGAUCGUAAAGCUCUGUUGUUGGUGAAGAAGGAUAGAGG
rnacentral:rRNA from 1 species